AUUGAACGCUGGCGGCAUGCUUUACACAUGCAAGUCGAACGGCAGCGCGGGCUUCGGCCUGGCGGCGAGUGGCGAACGGGUGAGUAAUGCAUCGGAACGUGCCCAGUAGUGGGGGAUAGCCCGGCGAAAGCCGGAUUAAUACCGCAUACGACCUGAGGGUGAAAGCGGGGGACCGAAAGGCCUCGCGCUAUUGGAGCGGCCGAUGUCGGAUUAGCUAGUUGGUGGGGUAAAGGCUUACCAAGGCGACGAUCCGUAGCUGGUCUGAGAGGACGACCAGCCACACUGGGACUGAGACACGGCCCAGACUCCUACGGGAGGCAGCGGUGGGGAAUUUUGGACAAUGGGGGCAACCCUGAUCCAGCCAUGCCGCGUGCGGGAAGAAGGCCUUCGGGUUGUAAACCGCUUUUGUUCGGGAAGAAAUCCUCUGGGCUAAUACCCCGGGGGGAUGACGGUACCGGAAGAAUAAGCACCGGCUAACUACGUG
rnacentral:rRNA from 1 species